rnacentral:sRNA from 1 species
GCUGCCGGACAGAGUCGUUGCCACCGUAUGUCCGGCCAGCCGUCAUGCUGCGGGAGGUUCUCGAACGCAGACAUGGCUGGUUCGGUCCGGUAACUUCGAACCCUCAGCCCCAGCCCCUCGAUGCUGCCGGGCCGAACCAUCCCCUGU